AAAAUCAGGUCAUACAGGAAGGUUCAUGGUGAGAGGUCUCCUUCCCAUCCCUGUCUCCCAGGCCCCCAGGUCUUUAUCUCCGAGGUAACCCCGUUACGGGUUUCCUUGUAUGACUCCAAAGUGUGCUUGGCAUUCACGAGCAUUUAUAAAUACCCACACGCCCCCUGCUUUUUUUUAAACAAAUGGUAACACCUUGUUCUGCACCUGGAUUUUUUCACUUUGUAAUAUAUCUUGGCAAUUGUUCCCUAUCAGUACCUGGAGAGCGGCCUCAUACAUCUUCAUGGCAUACUAGCAUUGCUCCAGCUCCCCCAGCCCCACCCCAGUACCCGGGACGACAGAAACACAUAGGCAGCAGCAAGGACACAUUUUAUUUGAAAUCUUCAGUUUUAUUUGCGUUUCAUGCCAAUUUUUUUGUUCUGCUUCCUAAUGCAUCUGUGCUUAUUUUAAUAUAACGAUCAUAUUUUAAAACAGAUGCUUGAGAAAGAUGGACUUGUUUAUUCUGAGAUUUAUACACCUCGGCAGGCACAUGUAGCCGGUUGGACACAUAAACAUGACAUUGUGAGAUCAUCACAGUGAUACUGUGAGGCAGGCAGGGCGGGGACGAUCGGGCCCCUCCUGCAGAUGAGGGGGCCCUCAGCAACGUCAAGACACCUGCCAGGCAACAGCGUGCACGGGCAGAGCCAGGAGGCCACCGGCACCUGCUGACAUAUCAUGCUGCCUCUCAGGACACGGACGAAAGAAGAGAGGAAGGAAACCAGGAUCUUAAAAGACAAAAAGACACCAAGAAUGCUUGUGUGCAGAGGGAAGAUCUUGCAAGGGCACACUGGAGGAGACAGCUACCUACAAACCAGAGAGAGAGGCCUCAGGAGGCACGAAACCUGCCGACCCCUGCUCUGUGACAUCCAGCCUCCAGAAUUGUCCCUGAGCAACGGGAUGUGACGAGCCCCUGUUAUCCUGGACCUCCCCACUAGUCUCCCAUCUCCAGAACAAUCCGCGUUCCAGCUUCCUCCCCGGGUGAGACACUAUAAACAUGUACCAGGGAACAGGAGGAAGGAGGUGACAUGAAAAGUAAAGGAAAUGUCCCAGAUGGAUCCAAAUGUUUGUUUGUUUGUGUUUGCUUUCCCAUGGAAGUGUCUCUUGUAGAUUGCCUUGCUGAACAUGGGUGUGGAGGACAAAGUAGCUGAGGUGGGAUCACGGUUCGGCUUCUUCUCAUUUCGAAAGUGGUUCAAGGCGCCCAGCUCAGCCAGUUUGGAGGCUGGGAGCUCUGACAACGCUCAGAGCUAUUAAUUUCCUUGCGUGUGUUUGUGUGUCUCCAGAAACCACCCAGAUUCAGAGAAGAGCUAGGAUUCCCCCGGCACCGUUGAGGAUCGUUUCGGCCGCUGGCAGAGGAGAUGAGGGGUAAGACGGGACGGCCAACCUGUGGGUCAGCCUCUCUCGCCAACGGGGGUCCCACCAGCUUCCCGGGCCCUUUGUGCCACUGGGCGCCAGAAAGAGCUGGCGUCACCGCAAAGCCCGGCCGUGACUCAUCCACCUCCCCAACUUCGCUCUUAAAAUGCGCUCUCUGGACUUUUCCAGGAAAGCCUGAGUGGCUCAUUGCAGACACCCAUCAUUAACGUGCCUUUCACGCUUCUGAAUUCCCUCCCGGGCUUUAACAAUCAUUGCAAACACGAGCAGGGGAUUCUUCUCAGAGAAAGACAUUCAUCAUGACUGUACCCAACCUCCGUCUCCAUUGCAGGAAUUACGGCAAUCGCCAGUGGGGAAAGGGAGCCAACAGGUAUUUUUAAAGAGGCUCUAUCCACUGGAGGAUCGAAAAGAAAAUAUCCCCUUUGAGCAUUUAGUCACACACAUCAAAGGAAACAACACUUUCAAUCUUCAUUUGCAUCGUACAGGCAUUAGAUGUGGUCCAGUUACACUGAGCUCCGCUUGAAAAGGCAGAAGUGCCAGUCCUUUCCAAGCCUUGACGGAGACAGAGAGAAAAUGCAGCCAGGCAAAUAAUAUAUCACCCUGCCAAGGCAUUUUCCAUUUUUAAAAGGACAGAACAAUUUUACAUUAUUUCUGGAGCCUCUUUGCAGCAAAUAUCCCUUGACAUUUAUUCUAGCACCCUGGCCGGCUGGCCUAAAAGCCUGGCUGCUCUCGGCCUGCUGUUCCUGUGCGCUGGGCACCGCAUUCUGCCUCUUGGGCCUGAAGCUCCAGACGUGAGAAGGGCAAGUGGCCCGGGUUUUUGAGCACAGGCAGGAGGAGGUUGGCUCUGCCGGAGGGGCCUGCGAAGGCUCCAGCCUGGUAGCAAGAUCAUGGCGUUUCAGGUCACUCGAAGACAGUGAGUGGAGAACCAGCAUUCAGGGCCCAGAGCCUCCGGGUUGAAACCCCACAAGGCAGGCUUGGGGUUUGUCACAGAUAAAACAAUGAAGUGUGCUUGCACUUGAGGGGGAGGCCCCUUGGGGAAGUGGAGAAUGGCCACCAGUUCUAGAAUAAUUAGCACCAAAUGACUUCUAGUUAGGGUGACAAAUGAGCACAUUUUCCAGAUCCGGAGAAUCAGGACUGGGCUAUUUAUUAGGUGAAAUUUUCCCAACCGUUUUUCUCUUCAAAAAAAAAAAAACUUUUUUUAACGUGUAUUU